GCCCAUAAGAGGGGGAGUAACAUCCGGAAACGGGUGCUAAUACCGCAUAGUUUUCUUGAUCGCAUGAUUGAGAAAGGAAAGACGGCCUUUGUGCUGUCGCUUAUGGAUGGACCCGCGGCGUAUUAGUUAGUUGGUGAGGUAACGGCUCACCAAGACGAUGAUACGUAGCCGACCUGAGAGGGUGAUCGGCCACAUUGGGACUGAGACACGGCCCAAACUCCUACGGGAGGCAGCAGUAGGGAAUCUUCCGCAAUGGACGAAAGUCUGACGGAGCAACGCCGCGUGAGUGAAGAAGGUUUUUUCCGGGAUCGUAAAAACUCUGUUGUCAGAGAAGAACAAGUUGGAGAGUAACUGCUCCAGCCUUGACGGUAUCUGACCAGAAAGCCACGGCUAACUACGUGCCAGCAGCAGC
rnacentral:rRNA from 1 species